rnacentral:rRNA from 1 species
AUUGAACGCUGGCGGCAGGCCUAACACAUGCAAGUCGAACGAGUGGCGGACGGGUGCGUAAUGUCGGGAAAACUGCCUGAUGGAGGGGGAUAACUGCUGGAAAAGGUCGCUACUACCGCAUACCAUCAGAUGUGCCCAGAUGGGAUUAGCUAGUUGGUGGGGUAACGGCUCACCAAGGCGACGAUCCCUAGCUGAUCUGAGAGGAUGACCGGCCACACUGGAACGGAGACACGGUCCAGACUCCUACGGGAGGCAGCAGUGGGGAAUAUUGCACAAUGGGCGCAAGCCUGAUGCAGCCAUGCCGCGUGUAUGAAGAAGGCCUUCGGGUUGUAAAGUACUUUCAGCGGGGAGGCGUUACCCGCAGAAGAAGCCCCGGCUAACUAUGUGCCAGCAGCCGCGGUAAUUC